rnacentral:rRNA from 1 species
AGUGAACGCUGGCGGUAGGCCUAACACAUGCAAGUCGAACGGCAGCACAGUAAGAGCUUGCUCUUACGGGUGGCGAGUGGCGGACGAGUGAGGAAUAUAUCGGAAUCUACUUUUUCGUGGGGGAUAACGUAGGGAAACUUAAGCUAAUACCGCAUAUGACCUACGGGUGAAAGCAGGGGAUCUUCGGACCUUGCGCGAUUGAAUGAGCCGAUGUCGGAUUAGCUAGUUGGCGGGGUAAAGGCCAACCAAGGCGAGGAUCCGUAGCUGGUCUGAGAGGAUGAUCAGCCACACUGGAACUGAGACACGGUCCAGACUCCUACGGGAGGCAGCAGUGGGGAAUAUUGGACAAUGGGCGCAAGCCUGAUCCAGCCAUACCGCGUGGGUUAAGAAGGCCUUCGGGUUGUAAAGCCCUUUUGUUGGGAAAGAAAAGCAUCAGGUUAAUACCCCGCUGUUCUGACGGUACCCAAAGAAUAAGCACCGGCUAACUUCGUG